rnacentral:rRNA from 1 species
CCCGCGGAACUUAAGCAUAUCAAUAAGCGGAGGAAAAGAAACCAACAGGGAUUGCCUUAGUAACGGCGAGUGAAGCGGCAACAGCUCAAAUUUGAAAGCUGGCCCUUUUAGGGUCCGCAUUGUAAUUUGUAGAGGAUGAUUCGGCGAGGGCUCCUGCCUAAGUCCCCUGGAACGGGGCGUCAUAGAGGGUGAGAAUCCCGUAUGCGGUAGGUUGCCUUAGCCAUGUGAAUCUCCUUCGACGAGUCGAGUUGUUUGGGAAUGCAGCUCUAAAUGGGAGGUAAAUUUCUUCUAAAGCUAAAUACCGGCCAGAGACCGAUAGCGCACAAGUAGAGUGAUCGAAAGAUGAAAAGCACUUUGGAAAGAGAGUUAAAAAGUACGUGAAAUUGUUGAAAGGGAAGCGCUUGCAACCAGACUUGUCCGCAGUUGCUCAGCCGGUCUCCUGACCGGCGUACUCUUCUGCGGCCAGGCCAGCAUCAGUUCGGGCGGUCGGAUAAAGGCCUCGGGAAUGUGGCUCCUCUCGGGGAGUGUUAUAGCCCGGGGUGCAAUGCGGCCAGCCUGGACUGAGGAACUCGCUUCGGCAAGGAUGCUGGCGUAAUGGUUGUAAGCGGCCCGUCUUGAAACACGGACCAAGGAGUCUAACAUCUAUGCGAGUGUUCGGGUGUCAAACCCGUACGCGUAAUGAAAGUGAACGGAGGUGGGAACCCGCAAGGGUGCACCAUCGGCCGAUCCUGAUGUCUUCGGAUGGAUUUGAGCAAGAGCAUAGCUGUUGGGACCCGAAAGAUGGUGAACUAUGCCUGAAUAGGGUGAAGCCAGAGGAAACUCUGGUGGAGGCUCGCAGCGGUUCUGACGUGCAAAUCGAUCGUCAAAUUUGGGUAUAGGGGCGAAAGACUAAUCGAACCAUCUAGUAGCUGGUUCCUGCCGAAGUUUCCCUCAGGA